rnacentral:rRNA from 1 species
UACGGAGGGUGCGAGCGUUGUCCGGAAUCAUUGGGCGUAAAGGGCGCGUAGGUGGCCCGGUCAGUCCGUGGUGAAAGCGCGGGGCUCAACCCCGCGUCGGCCAUGGAUACUGCUGGGCUGGAGCACUGUAGAGGCAGGCGGAAUUCCGGGUGUAGCGGUGGAAUGCGCAGAUAUCAGGAGGAACGACCGGUGGGCGAAGGCGGUUCUCUGGGAAGUAGUCCUCGACGCUGGAGGAGCGAAAGUGUGGGGAGCGAACAGG